GGUCCCUACGGGAGGCAGCAGUAGGGAAUUUUCGUCAAUGGGCGCAAGCCUGAACGAGCAAUGCCGCGUGAACGAGGAAGGUCUUCGGAUCGUAAAGUUCUGCUGAAGGGGAAAAAGAGCGGAGAGAGGAAAUGAACUCCGAUUGAUAUUACCCUUCGAGGAAGUCACGGCUAACUACGUGCCAGCACCCGCGGUAAUACGUAGGUGGCGAGCGUUAUCCGGAAUGAUUGGGCGUAAAGGGUGCGUAGGCGGCCUGCUAAGCCUGGAGUGAA
rnacentral:rRNA from 1 species